GAUCAGGUGGCCGAGUGGUUAAGGCGAUGGACUGCUAAUCCGGGGGUUUCCCCGCGUGAGUUCGAAUCUCAUCCUGAUCG
rnacentral:tRNA from 1 species